rnacentral:rRNA from 1 species
UACUUAUCACCCUUGGGAAAAAUAAACCAAUAUGUAUUGGCGGUCUUCACUCACUUAGAGAAACUCGCUUUAUAAUCGUAAACACCCGCUAACCCUAACUUUAUUUAACUAAGCCUAUAUACCGCCGUUCAGAGUUAAACACAAAACAAAACCCAAACAAUCAGUACAAAUUCAAAAUCAGGUCAAGGUGUAGCCAAUAAUAAAGAAAAAGUAAGUUACAUUAAAAAUAAUUUAAGGAUUUCUAAUAAAAAUAUAGAAUAAAAAAGAAUUUAUCUGUACGUAAUAGUUAAAAUCUAAUACUGAACACAACAAUGAAGAUGC